rnacentral:lncRNA from 1 species
AGGUAAACCAACCAAGUUUUAGUGUUUAUAGGUUUUUUUUUUCAGAGUACUAGUGCAUGAUAAGUCACAUCAUAUUGAUAAGCAAAACAAAAUGUGGGUGUAAACAACUAAGAUAUGUAUCGAUCUAGUUUCUGUGUGUCAGGUAUAGUUUUAAUGUUUUUUAUAAGGUGUAAUCAAGAGAUGCAUGAUCAUGUUAGCCCACAUUAAACUAGCUAUCAAACAGAUUACCCCACUUGUUGUGGCAGAGUUUGACGCAUCAUAUUAUAUCAUCGUGUACACAAACAAAAGAUUUAGUGGGUAUUGAUAGUUUACCUCUUUAUAGGAGUUGGUUCCCCUAUCCAAUCAUCCUCGUGUGAGUGACCUCCAUGUCCCGUGUGCCAUGGUUUCUUGUCCAAACCCCAUAGAACUACAUCAUGCUUACGAUGAUCACGUGGAACUUACAACCUCGACUUUCAGAUCUUCGCAUAUCUGCAACACAAACUUUUAAAAGUGUCAUACAAACUUAAAGAAAUUUCGAUAAGAUCCAUAAAAUUUUGGCACCAAUGUAGAAUAACUAGGCUUCCACUUAAAACCAAGAAAAAAAAAAGACCACCCAGACAUACCAACAUCGCACUGUACUUCUUUGUGUUGGUGGCAGGGGGCACGCCUC